AUUAGCAGACUCGCCCAGUAAAUAUAAAAUAUAAAUAAGUGUAAACCCUCUAGGAGCACCCGUUACAUAAGUAUAUAUUUUAGAACAGUUUUUUAACGAGGGACACACAAGUGCAGAGAAUGUAUGUAGACUUUGAAAUUAUUCUGUUAUAUUGGUAGGUGAACCUCAUAGGAAUAAUAAAACAAAUACAAUGUAUUUCUAAU